AUCUUUUCUUUUUUCCUUUUUAAUUUUCUUUUUCUUUGGUAAUUUACCUUGAUUGUUUUUUCUGAUAAUCUUGUAAUUUGAGAAUUUAGAACAACUAGAAGCCUUUCAAAAGUUAAAAUCAGAAAAGGCUUGAGAGGGAAAGGAAGUAGCUUCUGAUGAAAACAUACAACCACGGGUGCCCCUAGAAUCUUGCUUGGCAAGCUUUUCAGCUCCAGAGGAAGUUCAUGGUUUUUAUAGCAUUGCCUUGAAGUCCAAGACUAUAGCAAUCAAGCCGCUUAGGUAUUGUUGACAAUGAUGUCGUCGAGCUAAAUUAUCUACAUCGACAUGAUUGGGUCUUGAUGUGUGGCCUUGAUUUUCUAUUUUCUGAAAAGGGUAUGUUUUCUUUUUUAAGCUUGUUCUUUGUUUUUGGAACUUGUAUUGAUUUCAAUCUCCAUUUAAAUGAUCGGGUUUUUGUAUUUGUGAAAUAGAUUUUUGGGUUU